rnacentral:rRNA from 1 species
UACGUAGGGUGCAAGCGUUGUCCGGAAUUAUUGGGCGUAAAGAGCUCGUAGGCGGUUUGUCGCGUCGGCUGUGAAAACUCAGGGCUCAACCCUGAGCCUGCAGUCGAUACGGGCAGACUAGAGUAUGGCAGGGGAGACUGGAAUUCCUGGUGUAGCGGUGAAAUGCGCAGAUAUCAGGAGGAACACCAGUGGCGAAGGCGGUUCUCUGGGCAUUACCUGACGCUGAGGAGCGAAAGUGUGGGGAGCGAACAGG